AUUGAACGCUGGCGGCAUGCCUUACACAUGCAAGUCGAACGGCAGCGCGGGGCAACCUGGCGGCGAGUGGCGAACGGGUGAGUAACAUAUCGGAACAUACCCUAGAGUGGGGGAUAACGUAGCGAAAGUUACGCUAAUACCGCAUACGCACUAAGGUGGAAAGUGGGGGAUUCGCAAGAACCUCAUGCUCAUGGAGUGGCCGAUAUCUGAUUAGCUAGUUGGUGAGGUAAAGGCUCACCAAGGCGACGAUCAGUAGCUGGUUUGAGAGAACGACCAGCCACAUUGGAACUGAGACACGGUACCAGACUCCUACGGGAGGCAGCAGUGGGGAAUUUUGGACAAUGGGGGCAACCCUGAUCCAGCAAUGCCGCGUGAGUGAAGAA
rnacentral:rRNA from 1 species